rnacentral:lncRNA from 1 species
GGGUCAAUGGGGACAUUGGGGAUGUUGGGGACAUUUGGGGUCAAUGGGGUCAGUUGGGUAAUGGGGACAUUGGGGACAUUGGGGGACAUUGGGGUCAGUGGGGUCAAUGGGGACAAUGGGGGCAAUGGGGACAUUGGGGACAUGGAGGUCAAUGGGGUCAAUGGGGACAUUGGGGUCAAUGGGGACAUUGGGGACAUGGAGGUCAAUGGGGUCAAUGGCGGAUUGGGGACAUUGGGGACAUUUAAGGAUGUGAGGACAUUUGGGGAUAUUGGGGACACUGGGGGGACAUUUGGGGGACAUUUGGGGACAUUUAAGGACGUGGGCACAAUUGAGGACAUUGGGGACAUUGAGGUCAUUGGGAUCAAUGGGGACAGUGGGGUCAGUGGGGACAUUGGGGACAAUGGGGGGUGAUGGGGCAAAAUGGGGACAUUGGGGGACAUUUGGGGACAUUUAAGGACGUGGGGACAAUGGGAACAAUGGGGGACAUUGGGGGACCCUGGGGGAUAUUGUGGAGACACUGGGGGACAAUGGGGGACACGGCGCCACUGUGGGGAUACAUGGGGUCACCGUGGGGACGUUUGGGGACAUUGUGGUGACAUUUGGGGACAUUUGGGGACACGGAGGGCACGGAUGGGGCUGGCACCUCACCGUGCCUCAGCAGCUCAUCUUCUGUCACCUGCAGGUGGGACAGCGCGGCCACCAGCGCCGGCGGGGACUGGGGGACAUCGGGGGACGUGGGGGGGUGUGAGGGGACAUGGGGUGACACGGGGGUGACACGGGGGGGGGACGCAUGGGGGGACAUGGGGUGACACAUGGGGGGACAUGGGGUGACAUGNNNNNNNNNNNNNNNNNNNNNNNNNNNNNNNNNNNNNNNNNNNNNNNNNAUAAGGCGACACAGGGUGACAUGGGGUGACAUAUGGUGGCAUGAGGUGACAGAUGGGGGUGACAUAAGGUGACAGAUGGGGUGACAAGGUGACAGAUGGGGUGACAUAAGGUGACACAGGGUGACAUGGGGUGACAUGUGGGGUGACAUAAGGUGACAGGGUGGCACAUGAGGUGACAGAUGAGGUGACAGAUGGGGUGACACAUGGGGGGACAUGGGGUCACAUAAGGUGACGUAGGGUUGACACAUGGGGUGACACGUGGGG